rnacentral:lncRNA from 1 species
GGAGACCACAGUGCUUCUAUCAGACUUCCUAUCCUCAGACAAGCUAAUUCAUGCAAGCCAGGUAACUUUUCAGCCUAAGGCAUAUUACUUGGAUUAUAGAGGAGGAAAAAGAGGUUAUGGGCCUCUCACUCAAAGCCAAACAGGGGCAUGAGAAGAGUCUACCAUGGAAACUUUAUGGCUCUGAAUGAAGUCAAAACCAGCCAAACCAGAAAGAUGAUUCCAGGAGAAGUUAACCAAAAAUAAAAUGUAUGCUGUUCAGAUUUUCAGCUUGAAGGAAGGAAGGGAGGAAGGAAGAGAGGAAGGGAGGGAGGAAGAAAGAGAAGAAAAAGAGAGAGAAAAGAAAAGAAACUAGAUUUCUGUCUUCAGUCAAACUAUCCUUCAAGAAUGAAUUUGAAGUAAUAUUUUCAGAUGAAUGGAAACUAAAAAAAAUUGCUACCAAAAGAACCACAUUAAAGGAAAUAAUAAAUAAUUGGAGAAAAACAAAUAACCCCAGG